UACGUAGGGUGCAAGCGUUAAUCGGAAUUACUGGGCGUAAAGCGUGCGCAGGCGGUUUUGUAAGUCUGUCGUGAAAUCCCCGGGCUCAACCUGGGAAUUGCGAUGGAGACUGCAAGGCUAGAAUCUGGCAGAGGGGGGUAGAAUUCCACGUGUAGCAGUGAAAUGCGUAGAUAUUAGGAGGAACACCGGUGGCGAAGGCGGCGAUCUGGCCCAAUACUGACACUCAUACACGAAAGCGUGGGGAUCAAACAGG
rnacentral:rRNA from 1 species